rnacentral:snRNA from 1 species
AUCGCUUCUCGGCCUUUUGGCUAAGUCAGAUCAAGUGUAGUAUCUGUUCUUAUCAGUUUAAUAUCUGAUACGUCCUCUAUCCGAGGACAAAAAAUAAAAAAUUACUAAGAUUAAUAUGGGUAGCUUUACAUAGGUAUAGCGUAUUCAUUCUCUGUUAUAAUCUCUCACUUCGU